rnacentral:lncRNA from 1 species
AUGGAGGGCGAUAAGAGAAGAACCAAAGAAGAUACUUGGAAAUCAGAAGAACUUAGGAAACAUCUUCCGGCAACACAACCAAAGAGUCAAAAUGAAGACAAAAAGCACAGAGAAAAGAAACUGCAGAAAGAGAAGGUUGUUCAUGACACAGGCACUCAUAAAGAUGAACGCAAAGACAGAGGGAAGAGCAAGGAAAGAACAAGAGAGAGACUGAAAUCUGUUGAAAGAGACAGGGAUAAAAUGAAGGAGAGAGAAAGGGGAAAAGAACACCACAAAGAACGAGACAGAGAGAGAUAUCAAGAUAAGCUUCACGGAUCAAGUUUAGAGAAGGAAAGAUACAGUGUACCAAAAGAUAAAGACAGGGAGAGCAAUAAAGAACGUGAUAAAAUGCAUAAAAGACAUGAGAUAAAGAAAACAGAUAUGCAAGAUAAUCUGAAAUCAUUUGAAGGAAAAGAUAAAGAACAUCACAGAAGAAGAGAGAAAAGCAGGCAUCGUCUGGAAGAGGAGAAAACAAGUGGUGAAGAGCGAGAAAGAAGACAUACAGGGAAGAAGGAUAAUAAUACAAAAUCCAGCAUUGACGCAUUAUUAGCAGACAAAGUUGGAGUAAGUGAACGUGGACACAAGUUACAGAAAGAUAAAGAAUUGGAUAAAGAGGAAAAAAGAAGAUACAGGGAAAAAAAAGAACAUUCCAUUAGGCCAGUAAAAGACAGACUUUCAAAAGAGAGAAGUCAUAAAUCUUAUGAAGAAGAAGAGGAAGAAAGACAUAAGUCAAAGAGAUCUAAGGAGGAAUCUUCCCGUGGAGACAGAGGACAACCAGCAGAAGAUAGUAAGAGAGUAAAAAGCGGAGAAAACAAAAAAAAGAAGCUUGAUCUUAAGAGCAGUGAACACAAAACAGAGGAGGGGAAUCAAGGAGAAGAAAUGAGCCAUGAGCGUGUAAGGUAAAUUCAGAGAUUUAAAAUGAAUGUAUACUAUAUGGCAUCUACUAAGAUGCAGUCACCACUAAAACAUUAAGCAUGAAUUCUUGAUCUCAUAAUAUCUAGUGUUUUGCCUCCAGUAUGAUUUAUUUAAAAAUGUGUACGUUUAUAUUCUACUUGUUCUUUUUUCUGCACCAGGGUAGCGGGUGAAAUUUUGCUGUCCUUACAAACUACAGAUAUAUUAAUCUGGGCACUUAGCUCAGGAGUCAAAAAUGCUCUUGUUUUACCACCUGAAAUUCACUGUGCAGUCAUGUAGACAAAUGUAAGGUUUAUGACAAACACUACCAUAUUUUCUUUGUUGCUUUUUCAUGUUUGUCAGUCCAACCACCAGUAUAUAUGAGCACUUUCUUCCUUUGUAAGAACUCAUAAUGGUUCUAUCUUGAAGUCUGAUACUCAGUUUCUGAAAUAAUCAAAGAAAUUGUUAAGCAGCAGAGGCAGUCCUCGAUUUUCUCCCUGAUUGUAUUGUCCUCACAAAUAAACCCUCAGAGUGAAACA